GAGAUUAUUGAGCAUUCUGGAGCA
rnacentral:snRNA from 1 species